UGCUGGACGAGGCGGACGUGGAGGUCGUGUUCAGGAUGCUGGACGCCGCGGGGCGCGGCUUCGUCACGGGCAGGCAGUGCCGAGCAGUUCUUACGACGCUGGGGCUGAGCACCGCAGAGCUGCGCGUCGGGGAUGAGGAGGAGGUCGGGCUGGCCACGUUCAAGGAAGAAAUGAUGAAAACGUUGCUGGAAGGCUGGACUGCGUAGUGAUUUGAACCACGGUCUGCUCUGUGUGUUAGAAAUAGGUAUUUUGCUCCAUCCAUUUACUGGUGUGUCAAGACAAGUUU